rnacentral:lncRNA from 1 species
UUAUCUCGUUUUCAGUUUUAUCUCGUUUCAGUUUUAUCUCGUUUCAGUUUAUCUCGUUUUCAGUUUUCUUCUUUUGCAGUUUAUUUUUAUUUCAGUUUAUUUUAUUGGUCUUGAUAAGGAAAAUAGGUAAGUCUUCAAUUCCCUGUGGAUUUGAUCCUUUCACCACUAUCUGCAGUUGUAAAUUGUUGAUAACCAGAAAGGUUAUUUUUGACCGGCUUCGACAACCGCGAGUCAAAAAUUGGCGCCGUUGCCGGGGAAUUGAUUUAACUCAUUUGUUUUUCU